rnacentral:rRNA from 1 species
AUUGAACACUGGCGGCAGGCCUAACACAUGCAAGUCGAGCGGAGCGGCGGACGGGGGAGUAAUUACUAUUAGUCUGCCUGGUAGGUGUGGAUACCGUCCGGAAACGGGCGCUAAUACCGCAUACUAUCCGAGGAGCCUAGGUCGGAUUGGCUAGUUGGUGGGGUAGUGGCCUACCAAGACGACGAUCAGUAACUGGUCUGAGAGGAGGAUCAGUCACACUGGAACUGAGACACGGUCCAGACUCCUACGGGAGGCAGCAGUGGGGAAUAUUGGACAAUGGGCGAAAGCCUGAUCCAGCCAUGCCGCGUGUGUGAAGAAGGUCUUCGGAUUGUAAAGCACUUUAAGUUGGGAGGCGUUACCAACAGAAUAAGCACCGGCUAACUUCGUGCCAGCAGCCGCGGUAAUAC